GAUGAACGCUGGCGGCGUGCUUAACACAUGCAAGUCGAACGGAAAGGCCCUGCUUUUGUGGGGUGCUCGAGUGGCGAACGGGUGAGUAAAACGUGAGUAACCUGCCCUUGUAUUUGUGAUAACUUCAGGAAACUGGGGCUAAUAUCGGAUAGGAGCUACUGAUGCAUGUUGGUGGUUGGAAAGUUUUGGCGGUUGGGGCUGGACUCGAGGCUUAUCAGCUUGUUGGUGAGGUAGUGGCUUACCAAGGCUUUGACGGGUAGCCGGCCUGAGAGGGUGACCGGCCACAUUGGGACUAAGAGACGGCCCAGACGCCUACGGGAGGCAACAGUGGGAAAUAUUGCGCAAUGGGCGGGAGCCUGAUGCAGCAACGCCGCGUGCGGGAUGACGUCCUUCGGGUUGUAAACCGCUGUCGCCUGUGACGAAGCGUGAGUGACGGUAAUGAGUAAGGAAGCACCGGCUAACUACGUG
rnacentral:rRNA from 1 species